rnacentral:rRNA from 1 species
CAUGCAAGUUCGAACGGUAACAGGGAGCUUGCUCCGCUGACGAGUGGCGAACGGGUGAGUAAUACAUCGGAACGUGUCCUGUAGUGGGGGAUAGCCCGGCGAAAGCCGGAUUAAUACCGCAUACGCUCUACGGAGGAAAGGGGGGGAUCUUCGGACCUCUCGCUAUAGGGGCGGCCGAUGGCAGAUUAGCUAGUUGGUGGGGUAAAGGCCUACCAAGGCGACGAUCUGUAGCUGGUCUGAGAGGACGACCAGCCACACUGGGACUGAGACACGGCCCAGACUCCUACGGGAGGCAGCAGUGGGGAAUUUUGGACAAUGGGCGCAAGCCUGAUCCAGCAAUGCCGCGUGUGUGAAGAAGGCCUUCGGGUUGUAAAGCACUUUUGUUCGGGAAGAAAAGGAGCGGGCUAAUAUCCUGCUCUGAUGACGGUACCGGAAGAAUAAGCACCGGCUAACUACGUGCCAGCAGCCGCGGUAAUACGUAGGGUGCAAGCGUUAAUCGGAAUUACUGGGCGUAAAGCGUGCGCAGGCGGUUUGUUAAGACAGAUGUGAAAUCCCCGGGCUCAACCUGGGAACUGCAUUUGUGACUGGCAGGCUAGAGUAUGGCAGAGGGGGGUGGAAUUCCGCGUGUAGCAGUGAAAUGCGUAGAUAUGCGGAGGAACACCGAUGGCGAAGGCAGCCCCCUGGGCCAAUACUGACGCUCAUGCACGAAAGCGUGGGGAGCAAACAGGAUUAGAUACCCUGGUAGUCCACGCCCUAAACGAUGUCAACUAGUUGUUGGGGAUUCAUUUCCUUAGUAACGUAGCUAACGCGUGAAGUUGACCGCCUGGGGAGUACGGUCGCAAGAUUAAAACUCAAAGGAAUUGACGGGGACCCGCACAAGCGGUGGAGGAUGUGGAUUAAUUCGAUGCAACGCGAAAAACCUUACCUACCCUUGACAUGUACGGAACCCUGCUGAGAUGGUGGGGGUGCUCGAAAGAAAACCGUAACACAGGUGCUGCAUGGCUGUCGUCAGCUCGUGUCCGGAAAUUUUAGGUUUAAUCCCGCAACGAGGCCAACCCUUUUCCUUAUUUGCUACCCAAGGUUGGCUCUCCACAGGAUCCCGUCAGUCAUAAACUGCACAGAAGAGUGGGGAGAGGUCAGUUCUCAUAUGCCCUUGGGGAUAGGGCCCCACCCGUCUACAAUGGGUAUUACAGUGGGCAGCCCUCGCGAGAGGGAGCUAAUCUACAAAACCCAUCUCAGUUCGGAUUGUAGUUUGCAACUCGAGUGCGUGAAGGCGGAAUCGCUAGUAAUCGCGGAUCAGCAUGCCGCGGUGAAUACGUUCCCGGGUCUUGUACACACCGCCCGUCACACCAUGGGAGCGGGUUUCACCAGAAGUAG